AGCUGGUCCAAGUGCAGCAGUAUUUACAACUAACUGAUCACAACCAGUUACAGAUUCCUUUGUUCCUUCUUCACUCCUACUGCUUCACUUGACUAGCCAAAA
rnacentral:Y_RNA from 1 species